CGCCGGCUUGCCUUCUUACCUUCUUCCCAUAGUGCAUCCUGGUGCCAUGUGUUCCCCAGGCCAAACGCCACAGCUGGGGCCGCAGAGCAACUGUUGGAGACACGACACAGCAGCACCAUCUCUGAGGUCAGAUGGUUCUCCUCACGUGUCAAUCUGCUUUGUGAAAGAUCCCCUGCACCAUCAGGAAAUGAUGCACAGACAUGGCAGUGUGAUAUGAUGACUGUGGCUACCGGUUUUACUGGAACAGUCAAAGGUUCACUUUAAUUGUUGACCUCAAAAUGCAUGAAGAAGGUCUUUAAUGGAAAGGUUUUAUCUAACAAAUAUUUGCAAGCUCCAAAAGUGUACAGAACGUUUUACAUUUUUUUCCUUUGAUCUGACUUGCCCACAAACACCAUGUAUGUGAGGGUGAUUUGUUUGUUAGAUU